rnacentral:misc_RNA from 1 species
CCUCUGAACAAGUCAGAAUUGGAACAUCAAAUGUUUGAGCAGUAGAAUCAACCAAAGCUUCAGCUUGAUGAGAACUUCUAACAAUCAUCUGUUCAGUAAUCGACCCACGUUGCAAACAUUGAAACCCAAGUCUCCAAAAUGAAAGAUUUCGCGAUAGUAGACACGAAUUAUGCAAAUGAUCAGGGAGGCUUGAGGGGAUACGCCAGUGUUGCCAAGUGGGUUUUGGUAGAAAAGCUGUGGAAGACGAAGCCAUGGAAGCGAAUACUGUGGAAUAGCAGACCCAGAGGAAUAGUACGAUCAAAAUAUACUGUACAUCAACGGGUUGAUCUUCAUGAUUUGAUAUUUGUAUUGAAAUGUUCAAGUGUCAACAUUCCGACGAAAAA